rnacentral:lncRNA from 1 species
UGAUUGUCAUCUCUUUCAGAGUGGGAGAAACAGGAGGCUGCAUCUCCUCUUGAGCCAGACAUCACGGUGAAGGAUUUUCAUAACCACAAGCAUCUCACCCCAAACCUUCCUCUGUAAUGUGACAAGGACAGAGUCCUUGAAUGACACAAACCUCUGCCCUCCGGUCCAAACAUCUGUGCUUACAGCCCCCAGUGGGACAAUACAGAAAUAGCUCAUCAUGGAUUACCAGACAACAGUUACAGAUGAGAAUGUUUUCUCAGAAAUGUGACAAUGUAAUUCUUGAGAUUUACAGGUCAUAGACAUUUUUUAAAAAGAAAGCUUGCAACACUAUGUAUUCAUUACUCUGCAUGAAUUAAUUGAAGCAUAAUUUAGACUUCUGAUUGCUCUUAGAUGCUUCUGGUAGCACCUUCUGCCCAUGCAAAAAACCUAGCCUGCCUUUUCUAUCUAUUGCCUGCCAGACUGCCACCUUUUUCUGUGGUUCUUCUAUUUCUUAACAGUUAAUACUUUAAUAGUUUUACUUUGGUACCAGUCUCUGUCUAGUAGGCUCUUCACAACGUCAAAUAUUCAAAGAAUAAGAAUUUAUAA